rnacentral:miRNA from 1 species
GGGUGUGAGGGUGUCAGCAGGUGACAGUGGGGGCCACGCUGACAGCCGCACUUUCCUCACCCACAG